GGGCUGUUCAGCUCAGUCGGUUAAAGCAUGGUGUUGAUAACACAGAGGUCAAGGGUUCGAUCCCCGUUCGGUCCC
rnacentral:tRNA from 1 species